CGCCGCCUCGUGCAGCCGCUCCAGCGAGCGCUCGGCGUCGCCCUGCGACAGCGACGGACAGGGAAGGUAAAGCCAAGGCCCGGUAAGGUCGUCAGCCGCGAUGCGGCGCCCACACUGCGACGCCGCGUCGGUGUGUUGCGGUCGCACAACAUCAAGCCGCAGCGCUUGCCCUGCCACGCACGCCCUGCCACGCGCUCCUGCAGCCGCCCAAGCGCACCUGCAGGAACUCGAAGAAGCCCUUGUGCCGCGCCACCUCGCUGUUCCGGUCCGCGUCCUCGAACGCGUAGUAGCCGUACGCGUACGUCCACUUGAGCAUUCUCCGGCACUCCACGAUCUGUGACACGCGCAAACAAGUGAAUGUUCAGCUUGGGGUCCUCGUCGACGAGCCAUGCUGCGCCGUAAAGUUGCAACCCAAGCGGAAUGUCCAGCCGCCAACCCUGCGCACCGCCGCCCCCUUUCAACAACCCCCUUAGUGCCCGACUGCCCGCCAAAGCCGCCCUGCCCAGCCGCCACACACCUGGUUCCAUGCCUCGUUAAUGAACUUGAGCUGGCUGGUGGGCGUCUUCGUGAUGUCCGCCAGCUGCUCCAGCCAGUCCUUGCUCACCUUGCUCGCGUCCAGCCGGGCCUACGUGUGCACGAAUGCGCCACAACGGAUAAGGAAUGCUGUUUGUAUGUCGACCAGUGGCGACUACCCGCAUUACGAGGAUGCGCGCAAGCACUAGACCAGCUGGCCCUGACCCACCUUCUCGCGCGCCUUGGAGUGCGCGUCAAAGCGCUCGAAGUAGUGCAUGUACCGCUCGAGGCUGGCCUUGGCGUUUUCACGCCGCCGCGACUCGUCGUCGUACUCGCCCUUCUUCUUCGCCGUCUCAAACCUGGAGGGAAUGCCAGCAAUGCGAGCUUGUGUAAGUGCCACAUCGCAGCUGUCAUCUGAGCGCUACCGGCCGCCCUGGGCAGGCGUGCUAAGGCUCGAUAUGUGCAUCAUCGCCCACCCGUACUGCCGCUUCCGUCGAGGCUUUUUGCCAUUGGGUCGAUACAGGCCGUCUCUACCAUUGCGCCCGCCUACGUUACUAGCACAUCGGUCCCAUCACAUUCAGCGCUUCCCGCGCCGCCCACCACCCACCGGUUGCACGCGUAGAAGCCUCCCGUCCGCUCGCCGUGCUCCUUCCAGUCGCCCUGGCACAGCCAGCAGAACUCAAACCGGCACUGGCUGCACGUCAUGUGCAUGCAGCCCUGCGUAUGCAUCAAGCAGCGGCAUAUAGGUUAGUCACGGGGCUGACAUCACUUAACCUCAGUCAGCUGACGUGCCCGCAGCUGCAACCCUUGCCCCACCAGCACCUACAUGCUGACAUUCCCAUCCCCAUCCUCUCACACCUGGUUCUUCUCUAUGGGCCUGCUGCACUUGGGGCAGGGCUUGGUGUUGGCCAGGAUCCAGUUCAUGUUCUCGCUCUCCGCGCUGUUCUUGGUGAGCCACGUCUUCACCGUCUUGCAGGACACCUGCAGGCGCCCGCACAUGCAAGGUCAGGCACGCCAGACUAACGCUCUAGAGGUCUCUCGGCCGGCCAGCUUCGGCACUGCCGCCGCCAGCUGCCUGGUGUGAGAACGCCCCCGCGACGCUCGCGUGACCUGCGGCCAACAGCUGGGUAUGGCCACUGGGUGUCCCGCGCUCCAAUUCGACCCAAUUCAGUGUGUCUGGCCCCCAACCCCUCGAUGGAUGCGGCUGUUUGAUCAGUCUCCGUCUUGGUCCCCUCCUCGCCCCCUGGCACCUUGCCCCUUUUCCAGCCGGGCUAUCCAUCAUGUCAAAGCCCUAGCCUCUGAACCAGCUCCUUGCCCGGACAAGCCUACUGUCCAGUCACCAUUAACUCACCGGCCGGUGCGCCUCCUCCUUGCAGUUGAAGCAAAACGUGGCGGAGCAUGAGCAGAUGACGUCCAUCGCCUCGUCUGGCCCGCGGUCCACCAGGCACUGAAUCGCGUUCUCGCAAUUCUGCACGCGUGCGACAUAAGCAGUCAGGUGAUGACUUCAGUGACCAAAGCCAGACACUGUCCGCCUCAUUACCGGUGACUCCUAUCUUUGCACCUUCACCCACGCCACCCGCCUCCUCUGUCUUCAACUACGCACAUCCCCAAUACGUCCACUACCUGUACACUGACGGCCCAAUCACAACACUCAUUCCAUCUGUCACUCCUGCUGCUGCAACUGCUCGCCCCUCCAAAUCCCUCCGUUUCAUUGCAUGGCAUGACGCCCUUGACCCUGUGUUGCCAAAGCACCCUCGUUCUCACCUUGCCGGUGCACCAGCACAUGGAGCUAUUGUCCUCCACAAAGGAGCGCACCAUGUAGGUGCUGUACUUGGACUGCUCCUCGCCGCUGGCCAGCUCCAUCACCAGCGCGCAUGGCACCUGCGUGGUAACAAAUGUGGUGUUCCUGAACAGGAAAGUGUUGAUCCAUGCAUGCAUCCAGUGCUUCGAAGCGGCCCGUUGGGACUGAGCAGGAGGUCCAGCCAGCUGGAUGUGGCGUUGCAGGCGCAAACCCACCCCAAGGUACUCACGCAGGCCUUUUGCUUGCAUUCCGUGGACGGGCAGCGCAGGUCCAGGCAGGCAGGCCCUGAAGACAGCGCCUGCGUGAUGUACCCCCGCCAGCAGUCCUUGCAGAAGUAGUGCCUGCACGCCGCUGAGCGCAUGUCGCGCACGGGGAAGCUGUCGAAGCAGAUAAAGCAGCGCUCCUCCGCCUGGGCGUGGCAGAAAGCAGGCACGGAGCGCAGGGUGACAGCAGGAACGGUUUGCGUGAAGGGGCAGGUAACAAAGCUGGGAAACCGGGCGUGUGCACUCGAUGGCCUGGGCAGUGUUGUCAUGUAAUAGAGGCCAGGCACUGCAUUUGACCCCGUGCCCUUUUCCUUCCCGCCGUAGAGGUUGCUGGAUAGCCGGUAUGGUGCAUCCGCCUAGCCUGCAAUACGACCCGAACCCAUGGGAGCGCCUACAGUCUGUUGACCACGUGUGCGAAGCCCUGUGCAGCAAACCCCUCGACCCGCGCGUGCGCCCACUGCUCACCUCACAGGCCGCGCGGCCCGACGGCCCAGGCUCAUCCACGAGCCCUAGCGACUCCCGGACCUGGUCAUACUUCGAGAACCACUCCUCCUGCACCCGGCUCGAGUCCCUGCAGCGCCAGGCCACCGUAUGUCAAGUCACCAGGGUUUCGGCAUGCCUAGCGCCAAGCGUGCGCAACCCCACCAGGGACGGCCUCACCAUUUGUACUUGCGAAGGACACGCAUAGCCGUGUCCUCGUCAAUGCCUAGGACGUCCAUGACCUCGCGAAGCGCCUUUUCCCGCUGUUUGUUAAGGUCCUCCUUGGGCAGGACCUUGUAGGGAACCUGCAUAUGCAUACGCACAUCAUCAAGACCCCGCUUCUCGCUUAGCCGUGUCAAGUACAGCUGCGCGAAACAAGAUCCGCUUUGGGCCCCGCUUGCCUUAGGAACAGUAGACACCUCCUCAGCGCCAGCAAAGCCGUAGUCAUCGUCGUCGUCCUCCACGUCCAUAUCCGCGUCGCUGGCUCCAUAAUCGCUCAUCUCCUCGUCCUCCGAGCCGCUCCGGAACUCCUCGCUAUCGUCACUCAUCGUGUCUACGCCCCAAUCCCCGAGAGCUUUACAGGCGAUUAAGGGGAUCGAUGUGGGCUGCCCACGUCAGGGCGACACGACCGUGCCCAGGGCGCUCGUUCCUAGUCAGCUCAAGCGUGGUAAUCAGGGGAAGUUCAAAUACUAGAAGAAGGAUGUGUGCGUCAGAGGUAUGGGAAGUAUGGCAGGGACGGUGCCGGGCGAAAUGCCGGUCUGGUCGAGUCUGAGGCCCAAUCUGCCCCAUUCUAGCCCUGUUGCUUGGGUUGUCCGGGCCCACGCUUUGGCGGGCAUUUUGCUCCCCGGCUGCCUCCGCCUGAAUGUUUGACAGGGACCAACAGAAUGCACGUAGGUUGGCCGGUGACAGGCGCAGGUUUCCGUGUUCCUUACACUCAAGCUUUGAGGACGGCUGUGCGGGACCUGACGGAAGCUAAGCCCAAGCCCGUUGCAACGGCAGCCUGCGGUACCCAUUAUUCAGCUUGACCCCAAAACGAACAAGUUCACCCGCACCAAGGCGUCACACGAAUGCCUGGACUGCGGAGGCAAGGACAGGACGUUCGAGCUGCACGCUGGGGGGGGGGGGCAAUGCCGUGCUGGCGUGUUUUGCAGGCUGGGUAUCCCUCGACCGUGGCACUUUUAUAACCCAGCUAGAGGAGCUGUCCAGUGCUGAGGCUAGAUUCCGGCUGCCAAGGCUGCGCCCGCUGGCUGAACCCUCCCGGCUGAGCAGCGUCGGGGCGUGCCCCGCUGUAAAGCCCCAUCCACUCCCCCCUAACGCUGAACCCCCGCCAGCCGCAGCUGCCACGCGUCUGCACGCGGGACAUGUGCACGUGACUGCGCCUCCGUACCCAGCGCCGCCGCUCUGAUGCUGCCCAUGGCGCAGCACCAGUCCCAGCAGCCGCUCGCCAACAUCCUCUGCCGUUGAUCCGCGCGCGCGCCAGGCCGCUGCUGCUCUCCGUAUAUUUGCUGAGCUCCGUGUCUCCUUAACAUAAGCUGCUGCCAUGUCUGGGCCAGCCAGCGCUGGCCGCCGCGGCGUCGAGCGUGUCCCAUCCCUCCCACCCGCACCCCACCCCGGCCCACUGGAGGGCCACCCCGGGACGGAGAGGAAGCACUCAUACGAAGCGUGUGCCUUACAGCACGACAUCAGACCGCCGUGGGCGGAGGGCACCAGCCAGCAACACCGCGCACACCCGCGCCGUGAGCGAUGGAGUCCAGUCCGAGGGCGCCAUGGCUCCGAGCUGCUGCCGUGGCUCCCACUGCUGCUAAGCCGCUAGCACCACGAUCCUACUGUCCGCCUGCUUAAUCCUUCUUCUGCUGCUGCUGGUCGCGGUUGGGGAACCGGCGAGGCGGCUCCCGGUUCCGGCGCUCCUUGGCGUUGCGGACGCGCACAACGCGGCUGUGGAUAGCAGCGCUGAUGCUGUAGUACACCUUGCGGUAAAUCUUGGGCAGGGCGUAGUCUGUGGGCAGGGAUUGCGCCGGCAGAAGCCUCAAGACGGCGGACAAACACGCCCUCGCGCUAAAAUGAGCACACUCGGUCCUCAUCCACUUCAUUUCAUAUUGUCAUGACCUAUUGCUAUCCCAAGCCAGCCCAACUGGAGGCCGUCGCCCAGGCUCGAUCCCCAGCGCCCACAGCCGUCCCUCCGCCGACUCACUGUCGACGACGCAAGCCUCCUGCAUGUCGCGGAGAGCCGACGCGUCCACAAUGUUGCGCACAAUGUAGCGCUUGAUAGCCUUGUCCUUGGGCACCAUGGCGCCGCUAGACUCGCAGCGCACACGGUUCACAUGGCCGCGGCCGUGCUUGGCGCGUCCCCGAUUCCGCCGCUUCUUCGUCAUGGUUGCUAGCUUUGCAGAGAGAGG
rnacentral:lncRNA from 1 species